GCUCUCUCCUCGCCGCCCAACUCCCGCUCUCCCUAGGGCUUCCUCCCUCCUCUCCUCGGCGGCGCGGCGGCGAAGUCCAACCAGGCCCCACCGGAGCUCCGACCAUGGGCGGCGAGAAGGAGAACCUCGACCUCUCCGACCUCAACAGCUCCCUCCCCGCCGCCGCCGCCGCCCUCAGCGCCGAGGACCGCGUCGGUCUCGUCAAUGCCCUGAAGGAUAAGCUGCAGAGCUUGGCGGGGCAGCACGCGGACGUGCUCGAGUCGCUCUCGCCCAAUGUCAGGACGCGUGUUGAGUUUCUGAGGGGCAUUCAGAGCCAACAUGAUGAGAUUGAGGCGAAGUUUUUUGAGGAACGGGCUGCCCUUGAAGCCAAGUACCAGAAGCUGUAUGAACCAUUGUAUGCUAAGAGGUAUGACAUUGUAAAUGGAGUUGUGGAGGUUGAUGGUGCUGCUAAAGAACCUACCAGUGAAAAUGCUGCCGAGGGGGGAGAUUCAGAUGCUAAAGGAAUCCCAGAUUUUUGGCUCACUGCUUUGAAAACAAAUGACGUGCUGACUGAGGAGAUCCAAGAGCGUGAUGAGCCUGUUUUGAAAUAUCUAAAGGAUAUCAAGUGGUCUAGAAUUGAUGACCCUAAGGGUUUCAAGCUUGAGUUUUUCAUUGAUACAAACCCUUUCUUCAAGAACUCUGUCCUAACAAAAUCCUAUCAUAUGGUUGAUGAGGAUGACCCAAUUUUGGAGAAAGCAAUCGGGACUGAAAUUGAGUGGUAUCCUGGGAAAAAUGUGACACAGAAGAUUCUAAAGAAGAAACCCAAGAAAGGUUCAAAGAACACCAAACCUAUUACUAAAACUGAAGAGUGCGAGAGCUUCUUCAACUUUUUCAGCCCCCCACAAGUACCUGAUGAUGAUGAGGACAUUGAUGAAGAAGCCGCUGAUGAGCUUCAGGGUCAAAUGGAGCAUGAUUAUGACAUUGGGUCUACCAUAAGGGACAAGAUCAUCCCUCAUGCUGUUUCUUGGUUUACUGGUGAGGCUGUGCAAGCUGAGGAUUUCGAUGAUAUGGAAGAUGGUGACGAGGAUGACGACGACGAUGAUGAUGAUGAUGAAGAAGAUGAUGAGGAUGAUGAGGACGAGGACGAAGACGAUGAUGAAGAUGAGGAAGAGCUAAGCAAGCCGACGAAGAAGGUGGCGGGCAAACCGAAGGGACCUGCAAAGGGUGGCGCACAAGGGAACGCCGAGCAACCGACGGAGUGCAAGCAGCAGUAGAACUUUGUGGAUGCAGUUGUUGCAGUAUUUUUUCCAUUGAACUGCCCAGGGGGAAUGAGCUUUUAUGCUGGUUGUGUUGUGCACGGGUGAGACGUUUGGUGUGGAUAUUUACCGUAGGCAUGGUUUUGUAUCAGGUGGCGUGGUGAUUGUGCUGGUGUGGGAUGGAUGGUUUGGGAGUUUGGGACGGUCAUGUUAGCGUGUUAUUCUUAUUAUGGUCUCUAGCUAUAUGCAGUCGAAGGACACCCUAAGACUGUAAUUAUAUUUGAACUCGUAAUAGAGCCUUUUAUUAUUAUUUUUUGUGCCAUCAUCUCGUGUUCAUUGUGAUAGUGUUCUACAGUAUGCAGAACAUUCAUAGGUGCAUUUUAGAUAACUCCGUCAGAGAGAAGCACUUUGAUCUUGUCGGUUCAUAAUUCAUUUCCUAAGGU
rnacentral:rRNA from 1 species